GUGGGUAUAGCUCAGUUGGUUAGAGCGCAGGAUUGUGAUUCCUGAGGUCAAGGGUUCGACUCCCUUUACCCACCCCA
rnacentral:tRNA from 1 species